UUUAUUCACUAGGGGAGCUUUUGCUGAGACGUUUAUUCGGACCCUUUGAACCUGAUUAAGUUAAAACUUGCGGAGGGAAGUGACAUAUUAACUGG
rnacentral:ncRNA from 2 species